rnacentral:snRNA from 1 species
GUGCUUCCUUCAGCAGCACAUAUACUAAAAUCGGAACAACACAGAGAAGAUUAGCAUGGCGCAUGGCCCCUGCACAAAGAUGACAUGCAAAUUUACAAAGCAUUCCAUGUUUUU